rnacentral:rRNA from 1 species
CUCCUACGGGGGGCAGCAGUGGGGAAUAUUGGGCAAUGGAGGAAACUCUUACCCAGCAAUGCCGCGUGAGUGAAGAAGGUCUUCGGAUUGUAAAGCUCUUUGAUUGGGGAUGAAAAAAUGACGGUACCCAAAGAACAAGCCCCGGCUAACUACGUGCCAGCAGCCGCGGUAAUACGUAGGGGGCAAGCGUUGUCCGGAAUGACUGGGCGUAAAGGGAGCGUAGACGGCGGCGCAAGUCCGGAGUGAAAGCCCACGGCCCAACCGUGGGACUGCUCUGGAAACUGUGCGGCUUGAUUGCGGGCGUG